rnacentral:rRNA from 1 species
CCUACGGGAGGCUGCAGUGGGGAAUUUUGGGCAAUGGGCGAAAGCCUGACCCAGCAACGCCGCGUGAAGGAUGAAGUCUCUCGGGAUGUAAACUUCGUAAGAAUAGGAAGAAUAAAUGACGGUACUAUUUGUAAGGUCCGGCUAACUACGUGCCAGCAGCCGCGGUAAUACGUAGGGACCAAGCGUUGUUCGGAUUUACUGGGCGUAAAGGGCGCGUAGGCGGCGUGGUAAGUCACUUGUGAAAUCUCCGAGCUUAACUCGGAACGGUCAAGUGAUACUGCUGUGCUAGAGUACAGAAGGGGCAAUCGGAAUUCUUGGUGUAGCGGUGAAAUGCGUAGAUAUCAAGAGGAACACCUGAGGUGAAGACGGGUUGCUGGGCUGAUACUGACGCUGAGGCGCGAAAGCUAGGGUAGCAAACGGGAUUAGAUACCCCUGUAGUC